AUCGCGGAUCGUGGAGACACUUUCCUUCAGUUCGGCUGGAUAGGUGACAGGUGCUGCAUGGCUGUCGUCAGCUCGUGUCGUGAGAUGUUGGGUUAAGUCCCGCAACGAGCGCAACCCUCGCCUUUAGUUGCCAGCAUUUAGUUGGGUACUCUAAAGGAACCGCCGGUGAUAAGCCGGAGGAAGGUGGGGAUGACGUCAAGUCCUCAUGGCCCUUACGCGUUGGGCUACACACGUGCUACAAUGGCGACUACAGUGGGCAGCCACCUCGCGAGAGGGAGCUAAUCUCCAAAAGUCGUCUCAGUUCGGAUCGUUCUCUGCAACUCGAGAGCGUGAAGGCGGAAUCGCUAGUAAUCGCGGAUCAGCAUGCCGCGGUGAAUACGUUCCCAGGCCUUGUACACACCGCCCGUCACACCAUGGGAGUUGGAUUCACUCGAAGGCGUUGAGCUAACCGUAAGGAGGCAGGCGACCACAGUGGGUUUAGCGACUGGGGUGAAGUCGUA
rnacentral:rRNA from 1 species